rnacentral:rRNA from 1 species
UUAAAUUGAAGAGUUUGAUCAUGGCUCAGAUUGAACGCUGGCGGCAGGCCUAACACAUGCAAGUCGAACGGUAACAGGAAGCAGCUUGCUGCGUUGCUGA